UGGGGAAUUUUGGACAAUGGGCGAAAGCCUGAUCCAGCAAUGCCGCGUGUGUGAAGAAGGCCUUCGGGUUGUAAAGCACUUUUGUCCGGAAAGAAAUCCUUGGCUCUAAUACAGUCGGGGGAUGACGGUACCGGAAGAAUAAGCACCGGCUAACUACGUGCCAGCAGCCGCGGUAAUACGUAGGGUGCAAGCGUUAAUCGGAAUUACUGGGCGUAAAGCGUGCGCAGGCGGUUUGCUAAGACCGAUGUGAAAUCCCCGGGCUCAACCUGGGAACUGCAUUGGUGACUGGCAGGCUAGAGUAUGGCAGAGGGGGGUAGAAUUCCACGUGAUAGCAGUGAAAUGCGUAGAGAUGUGGAGGAAUACCGAUGGCGAAGGCAGCCCCCUGGGCCAAUACUGACGCUCAUGCACGAAAGCGUGGGGAGCAAACAGGAUUAGAUACCCUGGUAGUCCACGCCCUAAACGAUGUCAACUAGUUGUUGGGGAUUCAUUUCCUUAGUAACGUAGCUAACGCGUGAAGUUGACCGCCUGGGGAGUACGGUCGCAAGAUUAAAACUUAAAUGAAUUGACGGGGUCAUAGCUGUUUCCU
rnacentral:rRNA from 1 species